rnacentral:rRNA from 1 species
GUACAUCCAGAGAAUUUAGCAGAGAUGCUUUAGUGCCUUCGGGAACUCUGAGACAGGUGCUGCAUGGCUGUCGUCAGCUCGUGUUGUGAAAUGUUGGGUUAAGUCCCGNAACGAGCGCAACCCUUUAUCCUUUGUUGCCAGCACGUAAUGGUGGGAACUCAAGGGAGACUGCCGGUGAUAAACCGGAGGAAGGUGGGGAUGACGUCAAGUCAUCAUGGCCCUUACGAGUAGGGCUACACACGUGCUACAAUGGCGCAUACAAAGAGAAGCGACCUCGCGAGAGCAAGCGGACCUCAUAAAGUGCGUCGUAGUCCGGAUUGGAGUCUGCAACUCGACUCCAUGAAGUCGGAAUCGCUAGUAAUCGUAAAUCAGAAUGUUACGGUGAAUACGUUCCCGGGCCUUGUACACACCGCCCGUCACACCAUGGGAGUGGGUUGCAAAAGAAGUAGAUAGCUUAACCUUCGGGAGGGCGUUUACCACUUUGUGAUUCAUGACUGGGGUGAAGUCGUAACAAGGUAGGCGUAGUGCU